AACGAACGCUGGCGGCAUGCCUAACACAUGCAAGUCGAACGAGACCUUCGGGUCUAGUGGCGCACGGGUGCGUAACGCGUGGGAACCUGCCCUUAGGUUCGGAAUAACUCCCCGAAAGGGGUGCUAAUACCGGAUAAUGUCUUCGGACCAAAGAUUUAUCGCCUUUGGAUGGGCCCGCGUUGGAUUAGCUAGUUGGUAGGGUAAAAGCCUACCAAGGCGACGAUCCAUAGCUGGUCUGAGAGGAUGAGCAGCCACACUGGGACUGAGACACGGCCCAGACUCCUACGGGAGGCAGCAGUGGGGAAUAUUGGACAAUGGGCGAAAGCCUGAUCCAGCAAUGCCGCGUGAGUGAUGAAGUCCUUAGGGUUGUAAAGCUCUUUUACCCGGGAUGAUAAUGACAGUACCGGGAGAAUAAGCUCCGGCUAACUCCGUG
rnacentral:rRNA from 1 species